ACCAAGAAAAGGGUCUGUUACCUACUCGAUCUCACUAGUUUAUCCAAGUAAUUGAUUUUAUUUACUGUUUUGUCAGAGAAAGAAAUCUGGGCUACACAGCUGGGGAAAAUGUAAAGACUGAAAGAAGUCUACACAGUUAAUGCAGUAAAUAAUUUUUGAGUGGCUCUGUGUACUCACAUGCUCAGGGCAGGAUAGAAAAUACAGAUCCUGCCAUUAAGACACAGUUUUGUGUAGUGUCUUUCAUUGGUUAAAAGGAAGAGGUCACUGGUAGCCUUGGAGCAGAAGAAGUACUAGACAGCCUCUUUUGGGGGCUUGGCCAGGAAGCAGUCUACAUGGUCAGUGGGGAUGAAAGAGGCUCCAGUAUUAGUAGAAUCUCAGAGCUGUUUUGUUUUUUUAUUAAAGUGGAUCUUACUCCUUUGACAGCUCAUGAAGAAUGUUACUGUUCCAGAGUAUUGGUCUGGGUGUUUGCAGUUUGUUUUUGUUUUGUGUGAAUUGAACUAUAUUAUAAGUAGUUAAAGACAUAUAAGAACGUUUUCCCAAACCAGUGUCUCUGCUCAUUCUAUUUAAGUCUCUUCAUUUUAUUUAUUCAUUCAUUCUAAAAUGUGAGUGCCUACUAUAUACAUCUACCAUCCUAGGUAUUGGGAAGAAAAUAAAAUUCUUGCUCUCAAGGAGCUUACAUUACAGUGGGAAAGACAGUGAAUAAACAAAUGCCGUGUAUGUGCAUGCAUUUAUAUACUUAAUGUAAACAUGCAAGCAGGGUAAGUGACUGGGAGAGUAAUGGGGAGUGCUGUUUUAGCAGUGGUUGUCAGGAAAGGUCUUACUGAGGAAGUAGCAUUUUGAGUAGCAUCCCAAGUAAAACAGGGCAGUAAGUCUUGUCAGAAGGAACAAGAAUAGAAUCCCUGAGGCUUCAGAGCUCAGCAUGAUCAAGGAAGAGUGUGACCAGUGUUGCUAAAGAGGAGUGAAGAAAGGUGCUAUGGCUGAAGAUGAGUAAGGUUGGGACUCAGAAGUGUAGGGGACACAUUGCAAGUUGGGCCAGGGAAGUAACAGGAUAUAAUUUAUGUUUUGAAGCAGUGGCUGUAACAGAUGUUUGGGAAAUAGAGUCUAGGGGUUUAGGCUAAGAAGCAGGGAAACAGCAUUCUUGCCAUGGUCUGUCUACGUAAGGGAUGACAGGGGUGGCUGUGGAUAAGGUAUGGGAGAGUGGUUGUAUUGGGGUUAUAUUUGAAGGUAGAGCCAACGGGGAUUAUAUCUCUCCCACAAGCCCAUCUAUCAAGUUACCUGCAUUAUUAAUUUGAGACAUGCCUGGCUAAAAGAAUGACUUUUGACUAAAUAAAUCUGUAUAUCCUGUACUUCCUCUAGUUGUCCAGAUGUCUCUUUAAGUCAUGUACUUUUUUGGCAAGUAAAUGACGUAAUGUAGGGGCCUACAGAUUCACUUCAUUUACUCAGAAGUCAUUUAAGUGAUUCCUGUGUGCUGAACACUGUACUGAAUGCCAAGGAUACAAAUAGGAGGAUGUAGUCUCAGUUUGUUUUAAUCCAGUUUACUCCCUUUGUUAGGACACUGACUUGGUAAACCUGUAGUUAUCCUAUAAAAUGCAGGGGUUUUGUCUCUUAUCAGACCCUGUAUUCCCUGAUUCAAAAAUUAUGCCUGGCACAUGGCAGGCACUCAUUACAUAUUUGUUGAUUGGAUUAACCUAGAAGAGUUUCAGUAGAGAUUACCUGGGUGGCAAGAUUAUGCAUCAUAUUUAUUUUAAGCAAAAAAUAAUUUUUUUUAACUGGCAUAGACACUAAAGAUGAUUAACUUGAGGAUCCUCACAGAGCCUCAUUUCCCCCUUCUCAGACCCAAAAUAGUGGAUAUUUUCUUAGCAUUUUCAAGUUCAUGCAAGUCUUUGAUGGUACAUCUGUGGAUAUCACCUCCUUAUCCUAUAAAUGAAGAAGCUGAGGAUGAGGGAAACUAUAAUUUGUUAGGGAUCACAUGGCAGAUUAAUAGCAACUCAAGGGCUUUGGUUUUUAACAGUACUUGGCAGUCCAGCCUCACUUCUCCCUUCCUCUCCUUCCUUGCUGAGGGCUUCUGCAGAGAGUAUCCAUCAGUUGCCAGUCUACAGUUUCAGUUUGGGUUUUGAAACCCUGAUAGAGCACAGAGAAAAAGAUUGAGUUUUAAGAAGGGUGUGUCUCAGAGGCUUCUGAGUGUGUGAGAACUUUGGUUGCAGGGCAAGCAAGGUAACUUUAAAAGUUACAUUCAAAUCAUCUAGGAGAAAGUGUAACAAGAGGGAAUUGUAAAGGGUGUUGUGAGCAUGAGAUCCCUGUAGUGACUGUCCUCUAGUGUCUGGAUGCAGUGGUAGGAGACAAAGCUGUACGUACAUUGUGUAAGUACUUGUGUCUCAUAUUAAGAAACCUCCAUUCCUGUCAUAGAGGUAUCAGGAAUUUCUAAGCAGAAUACCGACCAGAUGCAUUUUUCUAACAGUAGUGUAGGAACAAAUUGCAAUUGAGGAGAGACUGGUAUUAGAGAAAUCAGUGGAAUAGCAGAAUAGCUAGUGCUGUACAUAGGGGG